AUGGUGACCACAAGGAAGAGCUUCAUUUGAAGUGCUAAAACUAUGGGAAUGAGGGUCAAAUAGCCCCUUCCCCAAGACAUUUAUUGCACAUAUUAAUGGGAAAUGCUCGUGUUCAGUCCCUCCCCGAUUCUGGAAAAUACAUCCACCUAACAAUCAGGUUCUCCCUGCACAUCCGUGCACACCACGCAUGGGGCUAUGAGCUGAGGCCGUCCUGAGAAGCCUGCCCUCCCCUGAGGAGAAACAGCCUGCUUCUGACUCCAUGCCACACUGCCUGAAAUUGUACCCUAAAAAGGGAUUCUCAGCUACUCAGGAGACUGAGGUGGGAGAAUCACUUAAACUCAGGAGUUCGAGGCCAGCCUGGGCAACAUAGUGAGACCCCCAUCUCUAGAAAAAAAAAAAAUUAAAAACGGAUUCCUUUGGAUCAAGAAAGCUACUCACCCUGCCUCCUUUGGAAAGCAGACUCCAGGGAGAGAACAUCUGACACUCACAUCUUACUGUAGGUUAUGUCGGCUCGGAGGAGUUAUGGGAAAUGUGACUAACGGAGAAGGAAAGGGCAAUUUUGGACCACAUGGCACUGCCAUGGGAGGAGCCCCAGAGGCUCCAGGAACACCUUGGGACCCUCAGAAGAAAGACAUCAAAGAGAGAGAACCCAACUCUGAAAAACAUCCAGCAGACAGGACUGUGGGAGGCCAACACAAGCUCCUUAUGAACAAAGGAGGUGAGAAGCUGCUGCAGGGACCACACUCGCCCGCUGGGCCUGCGAUGCCACAGGCCCACCUCCUGCCAGCCCUGCAUCCUGCUUCCUGCCCUUUGCUGUCCCCCGACCCCUCGUGAUGUCUCCACCCCAGCUCCUGUUAUAAGGGCUCAGCAUUCAUUAAUAGUAGAAAGAAACAUGAACAGACAACUGGGAGAUGAGCAAGAGAGUGAGAGACACAGCAGGGACAUGGGCGGGGAGCAGGGGGAGUGCUGGGGAGGAGAGAGCCAUCCCCAUCUCAGCUUCCUUCCCCAGGGGAGUAGAGUCCUUAGCUUCCUCUCACCAACCAAGUCUCCAUCCAGCUCUGUCCUCUGGGGAGGACAUGCCCUUCACUCAAAACACCAAGUAGGAGAUUCUCAGCCCCCUCCCCCCGGCUUCUCCUGAGAGACACCCCAUGAUUCUCUGCCCCUGGCUGACACAAGAGAAGAGGGCACAGGUGAGAUGCUGAUUGGUGAGACCUCCCUCAGGGAAGACGAGGAGGAGGUAGGAGGGCCAAGAAGGACCAGAGAGUCUCCACCUUGGCUUAGCCUGGGAGGCGCUGCCAUCUAAGGUGAUGUUUUCUCAGAGAUCCCAGCCAGAUCUCCAUGUGGUCAGGGUGGGCGUGAGGUGAGCCCCUCCUCAGACCCCAUCUCCUUGAGGAGCUCCGGCUCUUGGAAUUCAGUAUACACACAGAUCGGGAAACUUCAUUUCGUAGACGGGGAUGGAGUGGUUCUGCGGCUGACCGUAGGCUGCAGUGAUGGUUCCUGAUGGGCUUGGUGGGGGCCUA
rnacentral:lncRNA from 1 species